rnacentral:rRNA from 1 species
UACGAAGGGGGGCUAGCGUUGCUCGGAAUUACUGGGCGUAAAGCGUGCGUAGGUGGUUCGUUAAGUCCGUUGUGAAAGCCCCGAGCUCAACUUGGGAAUUGCAGUGGAUACUGGCGAGCUGGAGUGCGGUAGAGGAAGGUGGAAUUCCCGGUGUAGCGGUGAAAUGCGUAGAGAUCGGGAGGAACACCAGUGGCGAAGGCGGCCUUCUGGACCAGCACUGACACUCAAGCACGAAAGCGUGGGGAGCAAACAGG